rnacentral:rRNA from 1 species
UAACGCGUGGGAAUCUGCCCUGGAGUGGGGGAUAACCGAGGGAAACCUCGGCUAAUACCCCAUACGUCCCGAGGGAGAAAGAUUUAUCGCUCUGGGAGGGGCCCGCGUCGGAUUAGCUUGUUGGCGGGGUAACGGCCCACCAAGGCUAUGAUCCGUAGCUGGUCUGAGAGGAUGAUCACCCACACUGGGACUGAGACACGGCCCAGACUCCUACGGGAGGCACCAGUGGGGAAUAUUGGACAAUGGGGGCAACCCUGAUCCAGCAAUGCCGCGUGAGUGAUGAAGGCCUUAGGGUUGU